GAUGAAGAACGUAGCGAAAUGCGAUAAGUAGUGUGAAUUGCAGAAUUCAGUGAAUCAUCGAAUCUUUGAACGCACAUUGCGCCCCUUGGUAUUCCAUGGGGCAUGCCUGUUCGAGCGUCAUUUGUACCUUCAAGCUUUGCUUGGUGUUGGGUGUUUGUCCAUUCUCUUGCAGAGGGACUCGCCUUAAAGUAAUUGGCAGCCAGUGUUUUGGUUUUGAAGCGCAGCACAAGUCGCGAUUCAAAGCUAUACGCCCGCUUCCACAAGCCUUUUUCACUUUUGACCUCAGAUCAGGUAGGGAUACCCGCUGAACUUAAGCAUAUCAAUAAGCGGAGGA
rnacentral:misc_RNA from 1 species